rnacentral:tRNA from 1 species
GGGGAUAUGGCUCAGUUGGUAGAGUGUUCGCCUGGCAUCUACAAGUCCCUGGGUUCAAUCCCCAGCACCACCA